UUCGCUCGGCGUUACUCUGAAUCUCACUGGGGCUUCCACCUUGCCCGCUGUUUGCAGUAUCACCGUUUCUUCCGUCCCUAAAUUUGCAUAAUCUCUUGUGCCUGCUGCUGCGCUAGGUGUGCAACCAUCACCGACAGCAGGUGCGCCAACAACCGGACCAGGAGGAGCGAGCGACGCAGCGCCGACACCGGCUCCUAGUAAAGCAGGCUCACCGGUGCUCUCUGUUUCAAUGGGAUCUCUUGUUGUAGGGCUCCUCAUAGUUAUGUUAGUUUAAUUUCUGGGUGAGUAUAUUAAUUUGAGCAUAGGA